CCAAAUGUAUUCCCUCGAAUUAAACAAGAGCUCGAUGGAAACGUUGCAAGCAAUCCCCGCAAAUACUAAACCCUAAAUCCUAAAACCCUACACUCUCUCGAUUCAUCUCAUCCUCACUCUGCACAGGCUCGUCACCAUCAAUGGGUAGCCAAGCCGCAGUGUCUUUCCUCACCAACAUCGCACGCGCCGCCUUGGGGCUUGGCGUAUCCGCUACUGUACUGAACUCCUCGCUUUACACCGUUGACGGAGGGCAGCGCGCCGUCAUCUUCGACCGGCUCCGCGGAAUACUGGACGAGACGGUUGGCGAGGGGACCCAUUUCUUGGUCCCAUGGCUCCAGAAGCCCUUCAUCUUUGACAUCCGAACCAAGCCCCACACCUUCUCUUCCGUCUCCGGUACCAAGGACCUCCAGAUGGUUAACCUGACCCUUCGAGUCCUCUCUCGCCCCGAGGUCACGAAACUGCCCGAGAUCGUCCAAACCCUAGGGCUCGAAUACGACGAGAAGGUCCUCCCGUCAAUCGGCAACGAGGUCCUCAAGGCCGUGGUGGCGCAGUUCAACGCCGACCAGCUCCUCACCGAGCGGCCUCAGGUCUCGGCCCUGGUCCGCAACGGCCUGACAGAGCGGGCAAGAAACUUCAACAUCGUUCUCGACGACGUGGCAAUCACUCACCUGUCGUACGGAGGAGAGUUCUCGCGCGCCGUGGAGCAAAAGCAAGUGGCGCAGCAGGAGGCCGAGCGGUCCAAGUUCGUGGUGGCGAAGGCGGAGCAGGAGAGGCGGGCCGCAAUUAUUCGGGCGGAGGGAGAGAGCGAGUCGGCCAAGAUGAUAUCAGAGGCGACUGCGCAGGCUGGGAUGGGUCUCAUCGAGCUCAGGAAAAUUGAGGCUAUGAGGGAGAACGCCAGCACGCUGGCCAAGUCACCGAAUGUUGCAUACCUUCCCGGGGGUCAGCAGAUACUCAUGGCUCUCAAUGCCUCGCGUUGAGUCCGUGUUGCUUCCACAAUCUCACGUCGUAGCUUGUAACCGAGAGGAAACUGAAGUGACGACGGCUCUGGGGUGGCUAGGAAUGACUGGUGACGCCGCUGGCUGGAAGGGAGUGGGUUCAACGGGAUUGGCUGGUCGGCACUUUCUGUGGUUGUUUCCAGUGAGUUGGUUGUCUCAGUUGGCUGUGAGAGUGGUUUUUUCGGUUGUAGGGGCUGUUACGUUGGGCUGGGUCUCAGGAUGGCAUAACUACAUGAAAAGGUCAUGGAUUUUGCAUGAUUGUUGGUUUAUAGUCUAUGAAAUUUCCAUUUUUGUAUCGAAGAACAUGAGAUCUAAACUUUCUUUUGUAAUAAGAAAUUCUGAAUUUUUUA